UAAAAGGGAUUUCAAAUAAAACUCAUGAGCCAAGUCUGCUGUAUUCACUUACUAAUGUUAACGGUCGUGCCUCGGGAGUGGCUGACACAAUAUUUGACGUGAGAUGCCAAGUGUGAGAAAGUGUGUUUUGUGCUCCUCAGGGUGUGGAGGUAUUAAACCAACUGGCUGGAUUGGACUGGAGAGCCUGUUGACUGACGGGCCAGAACAGAUGCACAGGGAAAAUGAAGUCUUCGCUUGGUGAAAACCUGAUUUCAAACAGCAAGUCUUUAUUAUCCUCUGCAGCCGGCACAGAGUAAUUUGUGUUUCCUUUCCUCCCGUGGAGGCGCUCAGCAGGUCGCUUCACAUCUCCACCGUUCCGGAUGGAAAAGAGAUAAAACACAGCUGAACCAACAGAGGAAAAGAUGGG